rnacentral:lncRNA from 1 species
CUCUGAUGAAACCACUGCGAUCGAGUUUACUUACUUCGUCUUUCAGUGCCUCGUACCGUUCCGGAUUCAGCGCGCGUCUCUUCUGUCUAUGGGGGGCACAGGAGGGGUUGAUGUUAAGGUGAUGGCAACUGAUCCUGGGAUCUAUUCCCACCAUAUCCUCAUGUUUCCAUGCGAAGACAUCUAGGUUUUCUUUUAGGAAUCGUAUCAUCUCAAUUCUUGCUUCAGGCGAUAAUGACUUCCCUAUGCGCAAGACUUGAUUGGGGUCUUCUGGGUUGACUGGAAAAGUUUCCAGUUCUUCCAUUGGGGUCGCGUUUGGUUCAUAAUCAAUUAUUCGGGGAUCUAACUCGUCAAGAGGGUGUCCUUGUUCAGGAGCCUCUUCCAUUAUGACAUCUUCCCCUUGUUCAGAGGUAUGCCCUUGUUCAGGGGCGUCGAGCAUCUCCACAUCCGUACUGGCUUCAGCGGGUACUGCUUGAAUUACAUUGACAGUCCGGGGCUCCGAUUUUCGUAGCGAGUUUAGGUAACAUGCCCUAGAGCUCAUCUGAUCGCCCCGAACCGUUGCAAUCCCUCGUUCGGUUGGGAAUUUCAUGCACAGAUAGUGAAUGGACGUCACAGCCCAAAGGUCUUUUAGAGCCGGUCUGCCCAACACCCCAUGAUAAGCCGACCUAUGAUCUACGACCAGAAAUUCCAUGAAAUGCUGGGCGACCAGGGGGGCCGAACCCAUUUCCACAGGCAAGGUAAUCCGCCCUCGUGGGAUGAUGCUGUCCCCAGUGAAUCCGAACAGCGGGUCGGUCAUGGGGAUUAACCCAUGUUCAAUUUGCAUUUUGUCAAAAGUGGAGCCAAACAAUAUGUUCACGGAGCUGCCGUUAUCAACGAGCAUGCGUUUUAACCCGUUUCUAGCCACCACGGCCCUUACAACCAGAGCGUCGCAAUGGGGAUGGUGAACUCCUUCCGCGUCUUCCUGCGAGAAGGUGAUUGGGGCCAUCUUGUUUGCUGUUUUUGAUUCGUCGACAAUGUAGGUGAUCAUCGGGGGACCCUUAGCUUCUCUUGUAUAAUUUCUCUGGGCAUUCCUGGUGUUGCCGCCGACGUGGGGUCCCCCGAUGAUGGUAUCGAUUUCCCUGAUGACCUGGCUUCCAGUGAAUUGAGCUUGGCUCUCUUUCCUGGAUUGGACUCGGUUUCUCGACCCUCUUCUGCUGGGAGAUUGCUCUUGGUGACCCCUUCCUCCCCUCCUCGGGGAGGUGGAUCUGCGGGGGUGCUCAUUUCUGCCGAAAGUGAGGGGAUUGCUUCGAUCAGGGCGCCGGCUGGCAUCCCGACACUCACUGGUGUCAUGCCCAUAUAGUUGAUGGAAAGCACAAAAUCUUGCUCCUGGCAAGGGCCUGUUGGGCCUCUUCUUCUUCUUUUUGUCGUCAGUUCUUCCGGGUGGUGCUGCCUCAGUGGGUGUGCUAUCAUAUGCCAAUACCGGCACUGCGUUCAACGUGGCGGAAGCUAAGGCCUGUCCGGAUGUGGGAGCUAUGGUAUGCCCUGCUUGGGUCCAUUGCUGAGUAACAAGGUGCGCUGCGGGGCCUCGACCUACCUGCCUCUGUGGGGGAGGGAGUCCCUGCGCGGCACGGUUACGAUGAUCAAUCAUUUCUUCACUAAUUAUUUCUACCCUCAUCAUCUCCACCAACUCGUCGUACGUGGAGGGAUUCUUGCUGCGCACGUCCCUCCAAAACAAAGUGUUCAUGUUGAGACCACCUUUCAGGGCCGAAAGGGCUUCUCUGUCAGUGACCUGUUCGCAGUAAGUAAUCUCGUCUGUAAACCUGGCGAGAUAGCUUUUCAGCGUCUCUCCAGGGGCCUGCCUCAUGUCUUGCAGGCGUUGGAUCGGCGCCUCUCCUUCCCUUCGUGAGAGGUACUGGUUCAAAAAUGCUUUCUUCAAAUCCGGCCAACUUCUGAUGCUUAGGGGAGGAAGCCUGCUGUACCAUACCUCGGCGGCUCCGCCUAGUGUCAAAUGGAAAGCUCUGCACUUUAGAGCAGGUGAGGCCCCCCUAAGACUCAUUUGCGUCAUAUACUUUGUGAGGUGCUUCUCCGGAUCCCCUUUUCCCUCGUACUUGGGGAUCUUCGGGGGCAUGAAAUUAGCUGGCAUUGGGAAGCUUCGGAUUUCCCUUGAGAAAGGGAGGUUAUCGUCAUCGUCGUCAAUCUCAUAAGAUCGACAGGGCCCCUCUGAUCCUUGGUCAUCUUGGACGUCUUGGGGUGGGGGAGGUGCUUUCCCGCGGCUCCCCCAAUCGACUAAGUUUCUUCUCUCCUUCCUAUUUCUAGGAGGAGGGGCAUACUCUUCUUCGUUGUCUGACCGGACCGACCCUCUUGAAGGGCGGAUCCUAUUGCUAGGAUCGUUCCCUAUCCGGUCGAAGACGCUUACUGACCUCUGGUCAUGUCCUUGUGGAAAGUUGUCCCCCAAGGGUGGUUCUGAUGAGUGGCUCUUCUGCAUAUAAGAUGUUGCUUCGGUGUUAUCCUCUCUUUCGAGAGGACGUUCGGUGUGCCGGCUCGUAUGGCCUCGAGAAUGAGACAAAGGGAUUUCCCUUACCGGAUACGAUCCUUGGGGCAUCUGGUGUCCCUGAGCUUGCAUGAGGAGUUCCCGCAUCACCAUAUUCUGAGCUGCUAUGUCUCUCAUGCCUGCAGCUAUCUGGGCCAUUCCUUCGGUGAGUGCGGCUGUUCUUUCACCUCGCCGACGCCGGUGAUGCGGUCUCUGAUGAGUAACAUUGUUACGAAGUACUUCCUCCUCAGAGGCCUCUCUGAUGGGGUUGUCUUCACGGCUGUAGCUCAUCCUACCUCUUCUUUCAAGGAUAGUAAGAACUUGGAUUGUAACUUGACUCUUAUUCUUUUUCAAGAAUGCCGCCCUUUUCAGGGUCAGUUGCCGGUUUUCCGGUGGCUUCCCCGACGGGGAAUGUAGGACUUUGAAUGGGGAAUAACGGUUCCCACAGACGGCGCCAAACUGUUGACCCGUAAAAAUGGCUCUUCCACGUGGCCAACUUGCAGCUACUCCACGUAUUCCUCCCUACGAAAUUAACAAACUGUCAGGCGCACACGGCCGGAACCAGCGGUGGUGACGGCCGUAUACACUCCGACGGUCAAGUCAGAUUCGGGUGGUCGGAACAGUGUCCAGGAACUACAC